AACGAACGCUGGCGGCAGGCUUAACACAUGCAAGUCGAGCGUCCCGCAAGGGGAGCGGCAGACGGGUGAGUAACGCGUGGGAAUCUACCCAUCUCUACGGAAUAACGCAUGGAAACGUGUGCUAAUACCGUAUACGUCCUUCGGGAGAAAGAUUUAUCGGAGAUGGAUGAGCCCGCGUUGGAUUAGCUAGUUGGUGGGGUAAAGGCUUACCAAGGCUACGAUCCAUAGCUGGUCUGAGAGGAUGAUCAGCCACACUGGGACUAAGACACGGCCGAGACUCCUACGGGAGGCAGCAGUGGGGAAUAUUGGACAAUGGACGCAAGCCUGAUCCAGCCAUGCCGCGUAAGUGAUGAAGGCCCUAGGGUUGUAAAGCUCUUUCACCGGUAAAGAUAAUGACGGUAACCGGAGAAGAAGCCCCGGCUAACUUCGUGCCAGCCGCCGCCGUAACAC
rnacentral:rRNA from 1 species